AUGGCCGUGAUGAUUGGAAUCACUUUCAGAGUUUCUUGGUUUUGUUGCCUGCUAAUUGGCGGGAUAACCUGUUCUACAUCAAGCUCACCUAGGUCUAAAGGAUAUGGAAAUGACAUCUCUCCAACAGCUCAAUUGCGAGCGCAGCUGACCGAAGAGCAACAGAAACAUCUGGCCUCCAUCCUGCAAAAGCAACUGGCCCCCAUGCCCCAGGCACCUCAGGAAAUGUGGUAUCCAACUCAAAUGCCCCAGCAGGAAAAGCAACUGGCCGCCAUGACCCAACAGGAGACUCUACCGGCCAGUUAUCCUAAGCAGCCUCAAGCAGUGUUGUAUCCAGCUCAAAUGCCCCAGAAGCAACCAGCUACUGAACGUCAGCAUCAGAAGGAACAGGCCAUACCCCAGUUACCUCAGCAAGUGUGGUAUCCAGUUCAAAUUCCCCAGCAGCAAAAGCAACCAGCUACUGGGCCUCAGCAGCAGACGGAACUGACCACCAUGCCCCAGAAGCAACCGGCUCCAAUGGAUAUACCGCAGAAACAACCAACAGCUAUGCCACAGAAAACAUGGUAUCCAGCUCAAAUGCAGCAGAAGCAACUGGCCACCAUUCACCAGCAAGUGUGGCAUCCAGCUCAAUUGCCCCAGGAGCAAAAGCAACCAGCUACUGAACCUCAGCAGCAGAAGGAACCGGCCGCUAUAAGCCAGCAACCUCAGCAAGUGUUGCAUCCAGCUCAAAAGCCGCAGAAGCAGAAGCAACCCUCCACUGAACCUCAGCAGCAGAUUGACCUGACCGCCAUGCCCCAGCCCCAGCAAAUGUGGCAUCCAGCUCAAUUUCCCCAGGAGCAACCAGUCCCUAUGCAUCAACUGCAGAAGGAUCUGACCGCCAUUCCACCACAACUGUGGCAUUCCGCUCAAAUGCCCCAGCUGCAUAAGCAACCGGCUGCCAUGCUUCAGCAAGUGUGGCAACUGGCCCCCAUUCCCCAGCAGCCUCAUGACGUGUGGUAUCCAGCAAAAAUGGUCCAGAAGCAACAAGCCGCUGCAACUCGGCGGCAGAAGGAACUGACCACCAUGCCUCAGCAAGUGUGGUAUCCAGCUCAAAUGCCCCAGGAGCAGAAGCAACCGGCCACCAUAACGAAACAAGAGUUGCAUCCAGUGCACGUUCCCCAGAAGCAACAGGAACCGGCCACCAUACCCCAGCAAGAGUGGCAUCCAGCUCAAAUGCUGCAGACGCAACUGGCCCCAAUGCCUAUCCUGCAGAAACAACCAACAGCUAUACUCCAGCAAGCAUGGUAUCCAGCUCAAAUGUCCCAGCAGCAGAAACUGGCCACCAUGCUGCAGAAGCAACCAGCCCCAAUGCCUCAACUGCAGAAGGAACAGGCCACCCUGCCCCCGCAAGUGUGGCAUCCAGCUCAAAUGCCACAGCAGCAAAAGCAACCAGCUACUGAAACUCGGCAGCAAAUUGAACCGACCGCCAUGCCCCAGCCACCUCAGCAAGUGUGGCAUCCAAAUCAAUUUCCCCAGGAGCAGAAGCAACCAGCCCCUAUGCAUCUACCGCAGAAGGAACUGACUGCCAUACCCCAACAACUGUGGCAAACGGCUCAAAUGCCCCAGCAGCAUAAGCAACCGGCUGCAAUGCUUCAGCAAGUGUGGCAUCUGGCACAGAAGCAACCGGCCCCUAUGCCCCAGCAGCCUCACGGUGUGUGGUAUCCAGCUAAAAUGGUCCAGAAGCAACAAGUCGCUGCACUGACCGCCAUGCCGCAGACGCAUCAGCAAGUGUGGCUUCCAGCCCAAUCUCCCCAGCAGCAGAAGCAACCGGCCUCCACCCCUCUACCGCAGGAGCAGCCGACCGCCGUAUCCCAGCAAGUGUGGUAUCCAGCUCAAAUGUCCCAGCGGAAGCUACACACUGCCAUGCCACAACAGCAACUGACCGUCAUGCCUCAGCAGAAGCACUACCAAAGCACUGAAGAUGGUGCUUCUGGUAGCGCUCAGGCCAGCAUCGUUGAACAGUUGGGUGUCAUCCCAAUCUAUUCCUACAGUUCCAAAUCGCACUACGCGAAGGGCAGAACGAUCUUUUCCCAAAUCAGCUACACUCCUAGGGAGGCUAUUUCUGACAGUGGAAAUGCUCCCAAGGACGGUUAUGUUAGCUUUGGUGCACCAAGCAUAUAUCCACCACUAGUGAAGGAUUCUGCAAGGAAAAUGUAAUGGAUUCAUCCUCUAGAAGCUCUAAUG
rnacentral:lncRNA from 13 species